rnacentral:rRNA from 1 species
ACAUGCCUACAACAUAGAGUUAAUGCAUCGGAUCCCAUUAGAACUCCACAGUUAAGUGCACUCGGUCUAGAGUAGUACUAGGAUGGGGGACCGCUCGGGAAGUACUAGUAUUUUACAUGCC